UUAUGCUAUUUUUAAUAACCUUUGUUACACCCUAUAUACUUGACUUAACUCUCCGCUCAUUCAAACGUGUCGUGUAACGUUGAAACAAUGAGUUAAACUGAAAUCUGUCCGUGAUUUGAUAAGGAACCAACAAACAACAAAGAAAUGUGAUAUAAUUGGUUAAUUGUAUUCUAAAAUGAACUUAGUCUACAAAUCAGUACAAUUACAAUAGCACGACAAAUACAAUGGCAGUGAUUAUAGCGAUAAAGAAAGUGAUCAUCACAUUCACUCAUCUAUAAUAAAGGUCAAUGUUGCAAGGCCUAGGCUGUGUAUCCAGGGUGAUAGUGACCUUCACACAACUAACUUCUUUUAAUGGCAUUUAGAAGCUGGGAUGUAUAAGAUAGA